rnacentral:rRNA from 1 species
CCUACGGGAGGCAGCAGUGGGGAAUAUUGGACAAUGGGGGAAACCCUGAUGCAGCGACGCCGCGUGAGUGAAGAAGUCCUUCGUUAUGUAAAGCUCUAUCAGCAGGGAAGAAAAUGACGGUACCUGAGUAAGAAGCCCCGGCUAACUCCGUGCCAGCAGCCGCGGUAAUACGUAGGGGGCAAGCGUUAUCCGGAUUUACUGGGUGUAAAGGGGGCGUAGACGGGGGUGCAAGUCUGCAGUGAAAGGUUGGGGCCCAACCCCCGGACUGCUGUGGAAACUGUACGGCUGGAGUGCAGGAGAGGUAAGCGGAAUUCCUAGUGUAGCGGUGAAAUGCGUAGAUAUUAGGAGGAACACCAGUGGCGAAGGCGGCUUACUGGACUGUAACUGACGUUGAGGCUCGAAAGCGUGGGGAGCAAACAGGAUUAGAUACCCUUGUAGUC